GUCUAAGGCCAUAUCACCUUGAACACACCCAAUCUCAUCUGGUCUCAAAAGCCAAGCAGGCUCGGGCCUGUUAGUACUUGGAUGGAUCUUCAAAAGAGACUGCUCAGAGAAAAGCAGUUUGGAGACA
rnacentral:rRNA from 1 species